rnacentral:rRNA from 1 species
CCCUGCCCUUUGUACACACCGCCCGUCGCUACUACCGAUUGAAUGGCUUAGUGAGUCCCUCGGAUCGGCGACCGUCAGCUGGCAACAGCAGACGGACGCUGAGAAGUUGGGCAAACUUGGUCAUUUAGAGG